AAUGCAUGAAUAUACAUAACGGUUACUUUACGAGUUGACUUUCAGUCGGAGGGCGAACAUUUACCUCGGCCCACCAACUAGCGGUUUUGGCUAAUGUUAUUUAGCUUCAAGGCAAGCUAACAGGCCGCCCUUCCUAAGUUUCAGAUGUUGUGUGUAUAUUUGUCAUAAUGACUUGAUGUAGUAGUGCUAAAAAUAAACCUUUAUAUGUUCUCUUAGUGAACUUCUCAAAAUAUAUGGGCUAUAAUGUAUAAUGUACUUGGGAUGGGUUUAUCGUUACCCAUUGUUUCUGAUGGGGCGUUAAUUGGUGUGGCACCCCGGAAAUCUUCCUCACUUCUGGCAAGGGAUUGGGAAGUAAAUAAAUGCUACUGGAUCGAGACCCCUCAUCUCUCCUGCCUCUUCAAUCAUCCAAAGACUGUUAAGUUUGUUAUUUUAAUGUAAUGGUCGGUUCAUGUCCGUUACAUUGACUUGACUUGUCAUUGGGUCUGAUUUUAAAUGUGCCAUAUAGUUCAAUGUGGGAGCAGGUUCACACACUAAAUAAGACACUAAGGUCAAGCACAAUCAGAUUUUUUUUUUUUUUUUUAAACAAUUCUCAGAGCAGAGUAGAGCAGACGUUUCAGGUUACUGCCAUCAGAGAGUAGUGACUUGACCUUAGUGUCUUAAGUGUGCUCCCACAUUGAACUCUACUUUUUGGGUCCAUGCACCUACUUAUUUCUAAACAUCUAAGCGCAAUUAUACCCCUGCCUCCUGAUGUGCCAUAUAACCUGUAUCUCUCCAAUUGUGUGUGUGUGUGUGUGUGUGUGUGUGUGUGAGAGAGAGAGAGAAUGUGUGCACGCAGAUAUAAGAAGUUGGGGUUGAUGAUCCACAUGAUGGUGAUGGACCAGGACAGCUCUGGACCUCCUGACUGGCAGCUCCAUCCUCAACCUCUUCCUGCCCUUCACACAUGUGCAGGCAGAGAGGCAGUUUUCUGAAGGAUGGUUGAUGUCAGUACCAACAUGUUGUGAUGGAGGCUUCCACCUGAGCUGAACACAGAAACUUGCACACAGUGAUGGAAGCAGUCGUUCCUGUUCAGCAUUGAUAUGCCGGUAAUGGGUUUGAUGAGCCACAGCAUGGUGAUGGGCAAUCAGCAUCAGGACCAGGGCCGCUCACAAGGAGAACCUCCUGCCCUGCCUCUUCAUCCUCAACCUCCAAUCUUCCUGCUCUUCACACAUGUGCAGGCACGGAGCCAGCUUUCAGAGGGAGGGCUGAUGACACCAGCAACUUCGGAUCUGAACCUGAUCAACCCAGCACCAACCACUGUGCCGCUCCUCCUCUGCCAACUGCACCACAUGGCUCCACCAUCUCAAAAAGGCACAGACACUACUCCACUUCCUGCGAAGGAUGAGAGAAGAGCCGACCUCCCCACAUCGGCACUCACCACCUUCUACAGGGGUGUCAUUGAGAGCACCCUGGCCAGCAGCCUCUCUGUCUGGCAUGGCAGCCGUCAAGAGUGGUGAGGACAGCAGAAAAGCUCAUAAGAUCACCCCUACCAGCCAUUCCGGAUCUGUACACUUCACACUGUUCCAAGAGGGCAAUGAACAUCAUAAAGACACAACUCAUCCAGCACACAGACCGCCCUCCCUACUACCAUCAGGGAAGCGCUAGCCCACCAUGCGGUGCUGCAAAAGCACACUGGGAAACGGCUUCUUUCCACAAGCCAUCAGACUCCUCAACGCACUGAAGAAAACCACAUGAAUAACCAAGGACACGAGAGAAUAUUCCAUGAACACUUCUUUCACCAUGCCACUUACAUUUUACUCAUUGCACCUUGUAUACAGCAUCUUCACAUCACCUGUAUGAACUCCUCCUGCCAUGUGUGUGUGUGUGUGUGUCCACUGUGUUUGUGUAUUUAUUGUCCAUCAGUAUGUUAAUUGCACACUGUUUGGGUGUGAGUGUAUUUAUAGUAUGUAUCAGUCUGUAUUUAAUGUCAAUGCCUUAUUUUUAGUUAUUAGUUAAAUGCACAUUGGAGACUGGUCAAACACAAUUUCAAACUUUGUGUUAACCCUCAUAGAUUUUUUUUUGUCAAAAAAUGGAGUCUAAUCUACUGUAAGGCUAUCAACAGACCACACAGUUGAGUGCUGUUUUAUGCACUCUGAAUAUGAGGAGAGGAAGAGGUGACCGUUCACACUUCAUAGUGUAAAAGUAAACGGAAAUACAUUUUCACAUUUCA